rnacentral:tRNA from 1 species
UCCGCCGUGGUGUAACGGCAGCACGCAGGCCUUUGGAGCCUUGCAGUCUUGGUUCGAAUCCAAGCGGCGGAG